rnacentral:rRNA from 1 species
UACGUAGGUGGCAAGCGUUGUUCGGAAUUAUUGGGCGUAAAGGGCGCGUAGGCGGCUUGUUAAGUCGGCUGUGAAAGCCCGGGGCUCAACCCCGGAGGGUCAGCCGAUACUGGCAGGCUAGAGUACGGAAGAGGUAGCUGGAAUUCCCGGUGUAGCGGUGAAAUGCGCAGAUAUCAGGAGGAACACCAAUGGCGAAGGCAGCACUCUGGGACGUGACUGACGCUGAGACGCGAAAGCGUGGGGAGCAAACAGG